GACCUUUUGGCUCAAUGGCAGCACGUCUGACUCCAGAUCAGAAGGAUGCUUGUCCAAAUCACAUCAAGGUCA
rnacentral:tRNA from 1 species